UAUAGAGUGAUGUAAUUUAGCAUAAUGUUUUUUGGUAACAUAGGAGGUAGUAACUCUCUAUAA
rnacentral:tRNA from 1 species